UGGGCCCAUAAAAUGGUUAUGGCUGCUGGAAUUUAGGGCUAUUCCGCUACGUGCGAUAGCAGAUACUUUCUGCACGAGGCUCGCGAGCGGCGAGUUCCUAAUUUCGCAGGGUCGGUCGAUGCGUCGCGGGAUUUGGUGUUAUUGCCGCAGGAUCUCUUGUUUCCAACGCUGGAUCUCUUGUUUCCAUCGCUGGAUCUCGUGAUAAGAAGCCCUAAAGCAUCGACUUCUCAAAGUGCCACCUCUCAAUAAUCAGAAAUCAUUUUUAUAUC